GGGUCAGUUUCUAGAAGGAGAGGAAGUUCCCUUUUGGGGAGUUAGCCUUCCAGCCCCUGUGCAAAGCGCAGCUGAAAACAAAAGCCGUAGACACCCAUGAAGGAAACACAUGGAAAAGCUUCCUAUGACCGACCAGGAAGAUCUCUGUGAACUGGUACGAUUCCCAUCUUCUUCCUGAAGGGAGACGCAGCACCGCAUCAGAGCAGCGCGCCCAUCUCAAGAUCCACACCCACGAGAGAAGAGCCGCGCUGCUUCUGUAGAGCUUGCUGGGAAGACCCCCCCAGGACGCCUGGCCAGUAAAGAGUGGCCAGCACUAACCUGCUUAGCUAACUUGAUUUAGCAAACAAAAAAUACAGAUGCCUAGUUAAGUCUAA